AUUGAACGCUGGCGGCAUGCUUUACACAUGCAAGUCGAACGGCAGCGCGGGCUUCGGCCUGGCGGCGAGUGGCGAACGGGUGAGUAAUGCAUCGGAACGUGCCCAGUAGUGGGGGAUAGCCCGGCUAAAGCCGGAUUAAUACCGCAUACGACCUGAGGGUGAAAGCGGGGGACCGAAAGGCCUCGCGCUAUUGGAUCGGCCGAUGUCGGAUUAGCUAGUUGGUGGGGUAAAGGCUUACCAAGGCGACGAUCCGUAGCUGGUCUGAGAGGACGACCAGCCACACUGGGACUGAGACACGGCCCAGACUCCUACGGGAGGCAGCAGUGGGGAAUUUUGGACAAUGGGGGCAACCCUGAUCCAGCCAUGCCGCGUGCGGGAAGAAGGCCUUCGGGUUGUAAACCGCUUUUGUUCGGGAAGAAAUCCUCUGGGCUAAUACCCCGGGGGGAUGACGGUACCGGAAGAAUAAGCACCGGCUAACUACGUG
rnacentral:rRNA from 1 species